rnacentral:rRNA from 1 species
UACGUAGGGUGCGAGCGUUGUCCGGAAUUAUUGGGCGUAAAGAGCUCGUAGGCGGUGUGUCACGUCGGCCGUGAAAACCUGCAGCUUAACUGUGGGCGUGCGGUCGAUACGGGCAUCACUGGAGUUCGGCAGGGGAGACUGGAAUUCCUGGUGUAGCGGUGAAAUGCGCAGAUAUCAGGAGGAACACCGGUGGCGAAGGCAGAUCUCUGGGCCGUAACUGACGCUGAGGAGCGAAAGCAUGGGGAGCGAACAGG